rnacentral:rRNA from 1 species
GAUGAACGCUAGCUACAGGCUUAACACAUGCAAGUCGAGGGGCAUCAGGAACAUAGCUUGCUAUGUUUGCUGGCGACCGGCGCACGGGUGCGUAACGCGUAUCCACUCUGCCCGUUACUCGGGGAUAGCCAUUCGAAAGAAAGAUUAAUACCCGAUAGCAUUAUUUAUAGGCAUCUAUUUAUAAUUAAAGAUUUAUCGGUAACGGAUGAGGAUGCGUAUGAUUAGUUAGUUGGCGGGGUAACGGCCCACCAAGACUACGAUCAUUAGGGGUUCUGAGAGGAAGGUCCCCCACACUGGAACUGAGACACGGUCCAGACUCCUACGGGAGGCAGCAGUGAGGAAUAUUGGUCAAUGGACGAGAGUCUGAACCAGCCAAGUAGCGUGAAGGAUGACUGCCCUAUGGGUUGUAAACUUCUUUUGUUUGGGAAUAAAGUUAGGUACGUGUACCUAUUUGUAUGUACCAUUCGAAUAAGCAUCGGCUAAUUCCGUGCCAGCCGCCGCCGUAAGAC